rnacentral:snoRNA from 1 species
AGGAUGAUGGCACUCGGAUAAUUGCAGCGCAUUGUGUGUCCAUCAGGUUGGGCAAUUGCGAAUUAACUGUGGUGGGUGCCAAUUCGAUUGUGUCCGUGAUGCGGC